CCUGUAAAACCAAAUUAGGAUGGGAUUUAGUUGUUUUGUUUUCCUCAACAAGUGAAGUUCAGCAUAAGCAGUAAAGCAUAUAGAUCAAACGGGCAGAUUUUGGGGAGAUAGAACGUCAUCGGACUUCCAGUCUUAGGAGAAAAUUUUCAUUCUGACCGGAACACAGGGAUGUACAACCCCUUGCACCGGUUACACUUAAAAAUUUCUCCAGUCUUAGAUCUCGGGCAUGUUUCGAUUGCUUCCUUCUAGAAAAAUGUUUCUAAGUAGGUUUUCACAUAAAACUUGGGGGGUUCUAGAUCAUAAACGCACUUUCUGAAAAAAGACCCACCAUGUGAUUGUUCGAAGAGUGCUUUUUUCGGAAAGCACUUUGAUUUUCAAUAAAGGUUUCAUUGUGUUCCUAAUAAAAGUACUCCUAGUAUAAGACUUUCUAAGCAGUAGUGAAAGCGAUCUCACAAACCAAUCGAAAAAGCACUUAAAAACCAAAACAAAAUUAAAAAGACACUUACUUGCAGUCAGUGGCAAUGGCUUCAAGGCCAUCGGUGCUGAACCCGUCACAGCUGAGCAGCGACAGAGCUUUGAAGUCAGCAAAA